rnacentral:lncRNA from 10 species
GUAGCUGUGUCGCCGGCGGCUGCGGGGCCUCUGGGUUGCUUUCCCUCUCGCUCCCGAGUGCCGCGAGUUCCAGGCGGUCCCCGGGAUCGCCAGCGGCACAGGGCCCCAGCCCUUCGCCCGCGCAUCGGGAUGGGGGUCCUAGCCGGUGGGAGCUGCCUGUCCCUCGAGCGCCAGCUACCCGCGUUGUCCAGCGCUCCGGCCUCGGCCCGGCCCUCCUGCCUCCUGGCUGUUAGGUUCUGAAUGUUCCGGAAAUGCCACGUGACCGCGAGGGCGCUUGGGCUUGGGCUGGACAGGCCGGGGAUCUCACCGCGGCGGGCCCGGCUGUCCCGCUUGGGCGUCCUCAGUGGAACCGCACACCCUUUCUCAGCGCGCCGGUCGUUUGGUCCUGUAGGGCCGAGGGGAAUUCGUGCGGUGUUGAGCACGCGGGAAGCACUUAACGAAAGGGAGCUGCCCCUCAGCCCUCGUGAGUCCGAUGUAAAGGAGUGAAGGAGACGAAGAACUGAAUCAGUAGUUGACCGCCUGUGAGCUGGCGAGCUGUGCCCUGGUAGGGCCUUAAAUCCCAGCCCCAGAAGUCGGAGGCAGGGCAGGCACCCCAAAGCGUGGAAGAGAUGCACCUGCGGAGUGAAAAUGCUGCUAUUGCUUCUAGGGUCAGCCUUGGUUCCUGGAACAAAGGAGCCGCAUGACUCGGGUCUGGCGAUGAUGUUGGGCUCUGCAGUGUCCUCAUCCUUCCCCCUCUCUGGGUAAUGAUAUCUUCCCAGGGUUUAAAGUGUGUCCUCUCUGCCAGUAGCUUGUCUCCACAGCCUCAUCUUUAAUUCCACCUGCCCCACCCAUUUUGGACACUGCAGCCAAGUUGCAGCAGAUCCGCAAACCUGGUAAUCCCUCACUUGAAAGUGCUGGAGGCUUUAGGAUGGGGUUCAGGGCCUGUGCAAUCUAACCGCCUGCUUUUUUUUUUUUUUUUUUUUUUUUUUUUUUGAGACGGAGUCGAAUCUCACUGUCUCCCAGGCUGGAGUGCAGUGGCGCCAUCACAGCUCAUUGCAGCCUCAACCUCCUGAGCUCAAGCCAUCCUCCCACCUCAGCCUCCCAAGUACCUGGGGUUACAGGCAAGCACCAUUACGCCUAGCUAAUUUUUCUGGGUUUUUUUUUUUUGUUUUUUUUUUUGUAUAGAUGGAUUUCGCCAUGUUGUCCAGGCUGGUCUUAAACUCUCGCUCUGUCUCCCAGGCUAGAGUGCAGUGGGGCAAUCUCGGCUCCCUGCAACCUCUGCCUCCUGGGUUCAAGCAAUUAUCCUGCCUCAGCCUACCAGUUAGCUGGGAUUACAUGUGUGCGCCACCGCGCCCGGCUAAUUUUUUUAUUUUUAGUAGAGGCGGGGUUUCACCAUGUUGACCAGGCUGGUCUCAAGACUACUGACCUCAAGUGAUCCCCCCCCCCCCCCGCCUCGGCCUCCCAAAGUGCUGGGAUUACAGACGUGAGCCACCGUGCCCAGCGGUUUUGCAUUUUCAAUUGUGGGGCACGGUGAGAAAAGACUUGAAGAAAGCAAGGGAGUGAGAUCCAUGGAAAUGUAGGGGGGAACCUUGCAGGCCUAUGGAACAGCCAGUGCAAAGGGCCUGGGGUGGGAGCUGCCUCAGGGUAGCCAGGAUGGCAGGAGGCACAGCUGCCGAGAGGAAGCAGGGGCCAGGUCCUGCAAGGUUAGAGGCCAUUGCUACUCCUGAACACAUUGGCAGGUUUUGAGCAGAGAAGUGACAUGAUUUUAGUUUUCUCAGGAUCCCUCUGGCUGCUGUGUGGAGGAAGAGGGGAGGGUGAGAGCAGGGAUACCUCUUAGGAGGCUGUGGUAGUAAUCCCAGGGAGCCAGGAUGGGAGCAGAGGAGGGGACAGGAAUUGGAUUCUGGAUGCAUUUUGGAGGGAGCAUGAAGGAAAGCGGGGUCAAAGGUUCCUCUGAGGCCUUGGCUGCCUCUCUUAUUCAUCUACAUCCAUUCUGUCAAGGACACCUUUCAUUUCUUCUUGGCACUGUCUCAAGGCCACCACGCUGCUGCCCACCUGACCAGCAGUGGCCUUUCCAGGCCUUCCAUCUUCUCCCCAGCAGCUUAUCUCUGCGUAGCCAGGUCCCAUUUCCCACACACCUUUUUUUAAAGUGUGUUGCACUGCUCUGGGUGCAGGACUGUAGCAGUGACCAGGGCAGCUCCAGAUGAAGCUUCUGCUCACAGGAACCUUUUCUACUGAAACAGAUGAUACCUAAACUCUCAGCUGUGUGACUUUAAGCAACUUGCACAACCUCUCUGUACUUCAGUUGCCUCCAUCUUCAAAUGGGGAUUAAAAAGUGUUGACAUCAUAGUGGUUGUGAGGAUUACAUGAUUUGAUAGUUUAUAAAGCACUUAGAACUUGUGAAGAAGAGUGCCUGGGGAUUGCCUAAGGUCAGGAGUUCAAGACCAGCCUGGCCAACAUGGAGAAACCUCAUCUCUGCUAAAAAUACAAAAACUAACCACGCAUGGUAGUGCACACCUCUAGUCCCAGCUACUUGGGGGGCUGAGGCAGGAGAAUCACUUGAACCUGGGAGGUGGAGAUUGCAGUGAGCCAAGAUUGCGCCACUGCACUCCAGCCUGGGCAACAGAGCAAGACUCGGUCUCCAAAGAAAAAAAAAGAACUGCCUGGCUACGGAAUAAGAACUACAUGGAGUUAUUAAAUCAAAAUCGGUGCACAAAUGAUAAUUCUUAAGAGUGAGUGCUACAGAGAACACAAAAGGCAAGGCACAGAGAGAUGACCUGGGAGGCAGGGAAGGAAAGCAUUCCCAGAGGUGAGUGGUUAGUGAAGGCUUGUCAGAGAUGGGACGAGGAGAAGCCUAGGGGGCACAGAAGAUGCAAAGGUGCUGAGGCCAGGGCAAAUUCAGAAUUUUUUUUUUUUUUGAGAUGGAGUCUCGCUCUGUCUCCCAGGCUGGAGUUCAGUGGUGCAAUCUCGGCUCACUGCAACCUCCACCUCCUGGGUCCAAGCAAUUAUCUGCCUCAGCCUCCAGAGUAGCUGGGAUUACAGGCAUCCACCACCACGCCCGGCUAAUUUUUGUGUUUUCAGUAGAGACAGGAUUUCACCAUCUUGGCCAGGCUGGUCUUGAACUCCUGGCCUCAUGAUCCACAUGCCUCAGCCUCCCAAAGUGCUGGGAUUACAGGCGUGAGCCACCGCGCCCAACCCAGAAUUCUCUUUUUUUGGG